UAAGACUUAUAGACAACUAGCCCAUAUCUUCUGGAUGCAACCCAAACACUUUUAUUAAGCUAAAGCCUUCU
rnacentral:tRNA from 1 species